rnacentral:lncRNA from 10 species
GAGGCGUCAGUGUGAAGGGAAGGCUAAGGACGCAUCGGUGCUGGAGAGUUGAGAAUAUGCCUUCCCCUCCACCCCCAACCCAGUCACCUUAUUUGAAAAAAAAUUAAAAAACACCUUUUAUUUAAAAACCUAACCCUGGAAGUUUGCUCGGAAAAUGGAAAUCAACAUUUGAAACUUUUAAAUGGAAGCUUUAUUGGGGUUCCACAUAUGGAAAACUGCAAAUAGCAGAAGUAUGUGACUCAAUAAAUUAUUCUGGAGUGACCACAUCCUCUAACUGCCUCCCAGGACAAGACGGAGAAUGUGAACAAUGCUCCUGAAGGCCCCUUUCCCUCAAAGGUAACCACUGGCCUGACUUCUGACACCAUACAUUUGUUUUGCUUUUUUGAACUUCAUGUAAAUGGAAUCAUAUGAAUCACUGCAAUUGAAGGAAAAAUGCUCCAUGUCCCCUCUGCCAGUUGGUGUUUAUCAAAGGACAACGGAGGAAGAGAGACAAAGUGCCUGGAUGUGUGUGUUAAUCAAGAGUUGUCAGGACCCUGCCUCUAAAAGAAAGCGCUAAAAUGAUGCUUUUGACAAGACUUUUCUCAAAGUGGAUGCAGUCUAAGGGUUGGAAAACAAGGCCCAAUCAGGCUAGGUCUGACUUGUCGCCUGCUUUUGUAAAUAAAGUUUUAUUGGCUCACAGA